AAUCAAUAAGAAAUUUGGGGAUAAAUUCCAGUUUAUUUCAGUAUUCUACUAGUUGCUGCAAUUUAAUUAAAGAAAUAAAUAAUUAAAACAACACUUAAUUUUAAUGAUGUUUUUACUCACUUUUGUUUAAUGUAGAAAAUACAGACAUCUUUAUGGGAAACAUUUGAAACUAGUUACAAGAAAUUUGAUUCUAAAGCAACUCCUACACAAAAUGUAUCUCGAAAUUUCUUAUCAACUGAUUAUGGUAAAUCCAAAGAUAAAAGAGACUAUCUGUGGACAUCUACCAAAAGCAGUUUGUCUACACCAGUACCAAAGAGCAUGGUUUCUGAGGAAGACACGCUGAACAAACUGUACAAAAAUAAUAAUCCACCUGCUUCUCAUCUUUGUGUCAGAACACCAAAAAAGGUAGAUUUUAAAUUAUAUUUCAGAAAAAAAUUUAAACCUUGACUUUUUACACAAACAUUGAAAAUACUUUGAUUUUGUUUUAUUUUGUAUUCAGGCUCCUUCGUCUCUAACAACUCCUGGAUCUGUGAGAAAAAUGCAAGAUGACCGUUGGGCUGUAGUUGCUAAAAUGGACAGGAAAAAAAAACUAAAGGAAGCAGUAAAGUUAUUUGUUUAAGAAAAUCAGUGUGAUAAUGGACCCUAAUAACAUCAAAUUAAUAGUUAAUUUUUUUUAUUUUCCAACGAGUCAAACUUUACUUGGAAAUUGAGACUUAAAAAAUUGCAUAAAAAUUUUGUAUUUUUUAUAUUAUUAUAUUUUGGCCCGAAUGUGAAAUAGCUGUAUAUUAUCUGAAAACUUGUUAUUAUAUUCAGAUAAUUAUACAACUAUAUUUUGUUACUUUUUCCUGUACUAAUAUUAUGUUUUCAGAUUUUUAGUUUUGAACACUAGAAAUGUGUAAUUGAGAUUUAUUCUUUAUUCAUUAUUAAAAUUUUUUGAAUGCAAAAAAUGCUUUAUGUUGACUCUGUGAGGAUACUUGAAUAACUAAAUCAUAAUUUUAAGAAUAGUAUUUUUUAAAUCGCAAGAGUGUAUUAGUGGAGUUUUACAUUUCUCAAGCAGUUUUUAUUGCUGUAUUCAUGAAAUUUUCAGAUGGUUUUUUUGUGGCAGGAAAGAAGUUUAUAGCCAUAUAACUUUCUGAAAUGAAUUAUGCAAAUAUCUAUU
rnacentral:lncRNA from 1 species